AUUGAACGCUGGCGGCAGGCCUAACACAUGCAAGUAGAACGAGUGGCGGACGGGUGAGUAAUGUCUGGGAAACUGCCUGAAGGAGGGGGAUAACUACUGGAAACGGUAGCUAAUACCGCAUACCAUCGGAUGUGCCCAGACGGGAUUAGCUAGUAGGUGGGGUAACGGCUCACCUAGGCGACGAUCCCUCGCUGGUCUGAGCGGAUGACCAGCCACACUGGAACUGAGACACGGUCCAGACUCCUACGGGAGGCAGCAGUGGGGAAUAUUGCACAAUGGGCGCAAGCCUGAGGCAGCCAGGCCGCGUGUAUGAAGAAGGCCUUCGGGUUGUAAAGUACUUUCAGCGUGGAGGCGUUACCCGCAGAAGAAGCACCGGCUAACUCCGUGCCAGCAGCCGCGGUAAUUC
rnacentral:rRNA from 1 species